rnacentral:rRNA from 1 species
ACAGAGGGUGCGAGCGUUGUUCGGAAUUAUUGGGCGUAAAGGGCGCGUAGGCGGUGCGGUAAGUCACCUGUGAAAUCUCCUGGCUCAACUGGGAGCUUGCAGGCGAAACUGCCGUGCUGGAGUGUGGGAGAGGUGCGUGGAAUUCCUGGUGUAGCGGUGAAAUGCGCAGAUAUCGGGAGGAACACCAAUGGCGAAGGCAGCUUGCUGGGACGGUACUGACGCUGAGGCGCGAAAGCGUGGGGAGCAAACAGGA